AGGGUAUAGCUCAGUGGUAGAGUGUGUGCUUAGAAUGCACGAGGUCCUGGGUUUAAUCCCCAGUUCCUCUA
rnacentral:tRNA from 1 species